AUCACGCGUACUCUCUGUAGUGAGAGUAAUAAAUUGUUACAAUUUGAAACUUUCGUGUAUUUUUUAAUGUAAAAACACUUCAAAUGCAGAACUGAGUGUAAACGCGAUGUUCAAAAUUUUAUUACGGAUGUUCAAUGGUAUUAUAUAUCAUGGAUACUACUGGUAGUAAUUAAUCUUGACCUAGAUGAAUAUAAGAAUAUUGCAGAAUUUCCAGUUGAACGAUAUUUAAUGUUUAAUCAUUAUAAUAUUGUAUACAUAUACGUAAGAGAAAUAUCAUGCAGCUGAUAUUCGAUAAAUAUAGAAGAAAAAAGAUAAAAAUGAACGAAAGAGAUGAUAAUAUUCUUCGGAAGAAUAACAAGAGGAACUCCAUUGAAAACUACCAGGUACAUAAUAGCCGCAUUCGUCCAAUCGACAAAUUUCUCAGAUGCAGUUGUAACGACAAAUACAAUAGCGAUGAAAACAACAGUGUCUGGAUCACUCUAGAAUUAAUUCAAUGCGAGUGAUGAAUCAAAGGGCGAAUGAAAACCAGGAAAAUCUCGAGGACCAUGGAAGACGUCAUUAAUUUCUUCGGACGAAAGAUGCAAGAUGCACAAAUCUCGUUGGAUGAAGCAUCUUUUUCAUUUGAUGAAACGCUGAGUUUGUUCUAUCACCACUCGAGGAUAAAGUAGUUCCGAAUUAUAUAGGCUAGAUAUUAUUCGUCCUCGUCUCCUCGUGGCUAUAAGUUUCUCGGACUCUAUUUCAUCACGGGACUGGCUUAAAUUGCACUCGCGCGUCAUCCAUGCGAUUUUUGAAAAGUUCCUUCGUCCGGCGGUUGUGUAAUUAAAAUAGACCGUAUCUCGAACAAAGCGGAAUUUUUAACGAGUUAUUUUUACGAGAUAACUCCGACUUCUCCGUUUUUCAAUGUAGGCGAACUUCCCUUUAAUGCAUUAUUCCAUGAUUCGAACGUAUGAAUUACGGUGAAAGCGGAGAUUCGAAAUACACCACUGUCUUAAUUAACUAGCUACAAAGAAACGAUCGUAUAUGGUAAUGAUUGAGUAUAUAAAGCUUACACGUAAUGGAUUGGAUUCAUAACGAAGCGUGAACUGAAUAAAAAUUUUAAUUAUUUUUAUAAUGUAAAUUCUUCCUUUUUUUUCUCGAAAUUGCCAUACAAAUUUAUAUCAAUUUUGUAAUUGCGAAUGUGUUUCUCUUUUUAGAUGUAAUCUACGUACUUCGUGAUAUGUCGCCUGCAGCUAUGCAAUCCUCAUUACACGAUGUAUUGAUACAAGUGAAAGUAUUUCGCAUAAAGAUUUUAUGCGCCUCGAAUUAUUUUGAUAAAUAUUUGUCUGUGGAGAGAGAUUCAGUAUUUUUAAAAUAUCAAGAAAUUUAAUUUCAAGAACUUGUGUAUCAUAUAUCACUAACGUCUG